CAGCAGCCGCGGGAAUACGUAGGGUGCAAGCGUUAAUCGGAAUUACUGGGCGUAAAGCGUGCGCAGGCGGUUAUAUAAGACAGAUGUGAAAUCCCCUGGCUCAACCUGGGAACUGCAUUUGUGACUGUAUAGCUAGAGUACGGCAGAGGGGGAUGGAAUUCCGCGUGUAGCAGUGAAAUGCGUAGAUAUGCGGAGGAACACCGAUGGCGAAGGCAAUCCCCUGGGCCUGUACUGACGCUCAUGCACGAAAGCGUGGGGAGCAAACAGGAUUAGAUACCCGGGUAGUCCCUGUCUCUUAUAA
rnacentral:rRNA from 1 species